UCUAGUGGCGAACGGGUGAGUAACACGUGGGUAACUUAUCUUAUAGCCGAGGAUAACAGUUGGAAACGACUGCUAAUACUGGAUAGGUUGAAUGAACACAGGUUUAUUCAAUUAAAGAUGCUUCACGACAUCACUAUAAGAGAGGCCCGCGGUGCAUUAGCUAGUUGGUGGGGUAAGGGCCUACCAAGGCGAUGAUGCAUAGCUGUGCUGAGAGGCAGAACAGCCACACUGGGACUGAGACACGGCCCAGACUCCUACGGGAGGCAGCAGUAGGGAAUUUUCGGCAAUGGAGGGAACUCUGACCGAGCAAUGCCGCGUGAACGAUGAAGGUCUUCGGACUGUAAAGUUCUGUUGUUAGGGAAGAAUAAUACAGAUAGGAAAUGAUCUGUAGAUGACGGUACUUAACCAGAAAGCCCCGGCUAACUAUGUGCCAGCAGCCGCGGUAAUACAUAGGGGGCGAGCGUUAUCCGGAAUUAUUGGGCGUAAAGGGUGCGUAGGCGGUUUAUUAAGUCUGGUGUGAAAUAUUACAGCUUAACUGUAAAGGGUCAUCGGAAACUGAUAAACUUGAGUACGGUAGGGGCAAGUGGAAUUCCAAGUGGAGCGGUGGAAUGCGUAGAUAUUUGGAGGAACACCAGUAGCGAANGGCGGCUUGCUGGGCCGGAACUGACGCUGAGGCACGAAAGCGUGGGGAGCAAACAGGAUUAGAUACCCUGGUAGUCCACGCCGUAAACGAUGAGUAUUAAGUGUCGGACAAAAGUUCGGUGCUGCAGUUAACACAAUAAAUACUCCGCCUGGGGAGUAUGGUCGCAAGACUGAAACUCAAAGGAAUUGACGGGGACUCGCACAAGCGGUGGAGCAUGCGGAUUAAUUCGAUGCAACGCGAAGAACCUUACCAGGCCUUGACAUCCUGUUGCCAGGGCUAGAGAUAGCCCCUUCCUUCGGGACAACAGAGACAGGUGGUGCAUGGUUGUCGUCAGCUCGUGUCGUGAGAUGUUGGGUUAAGUCCCAUAACGAGCGCAACCCUUAUCAUUAGUUGCUAACAUUAAGUUGAGGACUCUAAUGAGACCGCCGGUGACAAACCGGAUGAAGGUGGGGAUGACGUCAAAUCAUCAUGCCCCUUAUGGCCUGGGCUUCACGCGUGCUACAAUGGCUAGUACAAAGAGUCGCGAAACCGCGAGGUGGAGCAAAUCUCAUAAAGCUAGUCUCAGUUCGGAUUGUAGUCUGCAACUCGACUACAUGAAGGCGGAACCGCUAGUAAUCGCAAAUCAGAAUGUUGCGGUGAAUACGUUCUCGAGUCUUGUACACACCGCCCGUCACACCAUGAGAGUUUGCAAUACCCGAAGCCGGUGGCUAACCGCAAGGAGAGAG
rnacentral:rRNA from 1 species